GGCGGGGGAGGAGCUCCGGAGGGGGAAAAAGAAAGUGCGGCGGAAAGUAAGAGGCUAGUCGGGGAAGGCUGCCAGCAUCUGGGUCUCCUGGGUUCGGCUUGGACCAGGGCGCUGAAAGAGGCAGUGGCCGGCCAACCCGCACCCAUCUGGUCGCUGUCGCCGAGCCUGCUUGGCUGGCCCAGUAAGGAUGGGACUUCCUUGGUGUUUGAUGAGUCUGUUCUUCUGUGGGAUCCUGCAGAGUCACGCUUCCGAACGCUGUGAUGACUGGGGACUAGAUACCAUGCGACAAAUCCAAGUGUUUGAAGAUGAGCCAGCUCGCAUCAAGUGCCCCCUCUUUGAACACUUCUUGAAGUACAACUACAGCACUGCCCAUUCCUCUGGACUUACCCUGAUCUGGUACUGGACCAGGCAAGACCGGGACCUGGAGGAGCCCAUUAAUUUCCGCCUUCCAGAGAAUCGCAUCAGUAAGGAGAAAGAUGUGCUCUGGUUCCGGCCCACCCUCCUCAAUGACACGGGCAAUUACACCUGCAUGUUGAGGAACACGACUUACUGCAGCAAAGUUGCAUUUCCCCUGGAAGUUGUUCAGAAGGACAGCUGUUUCAAUUCCCCCAUGAGACUCCCAGUGCACAGGCUGUAUAUUGAAGAGGGUAUUCACAAUAUCACGUGUCCAAAUGUAGAUGGAUAUUUUCCUUCCAGUGUCAAACCAUCGGUCACUUGGUAUAAGGGUUGUACUGAAAUAGUGAAUUUUCAUAAUGUUCAUCCCGAGGGCAUGAACUUGAGCUUUUUCAUCCCCUUGGUUUCUAAUAACGGAAAUUACACAUGUGUGGUGACGUAUCCGGAGAACGGACGGCUCUUCCGCCUCACCAGGACGAUGACUGUAAAGGUGGUAGGCUCACCAAAGGAUGCAGUACCACCUCAUAUCUACUCGCCAAAUGACCGCGUUGUCUAUGAGAAAGAACCAGGAGAGGAGUUGGUUAUUCCCUGUAAAGUCUAUUUCAGUUUCAUUAUGGACUCUCACAAUGAGAUCUGGUGGACCAUUGAUGGAAAGAAGCCUGAUGACGUCCCUGUUGACAUCACUAUUAAUGAAAGCGUAAGUUAUUCUUCAACGGAAGAUGAGACAAGGACUCAGAUUUUAAGCAUCAAGAAAGUCACCCCUGAGGAUCUGAAGCGCAACUAUGUCUGUCACGCUCGAAAUGCCGAAGGGGAAGCCGAGCAAGCAGCCAAGGUGAAACAGAAAGUCAUACCGCCAAGGUACACAGUAGAACUUGCCUGUGGUUUUGGAGCCACAGUCUUUCUGGUGGUGGUUCUCAUCGUGGUCUACCACGUUUACUGGCUGGAGAUGGUCCUCUUUUACCGAGCUCAUUUUGGAACGGAUGAAACAAUUCUUGAUGGAAAGGAAUAUGAUAUUUAUGUUUCCUAUGCAAGAAAUGCAGAAGAAGAGGAGUUUGUGCUACUGACACUACGUGGAGUUUUGGAGAAUGAGUUCGGAUACAAGCUGUGCAUCUUCGACAGGGACAGCCUGCCUGGGGGAAAUACGGUGGAAGCAGUGUUUGAUUUCAUUCAGCGGAGCCGAAGGAUGAUUGUUGUCCUGAGCCCAGACUAUGUGACAGAAAAGAGCAUCAGUAUGCUGGAGUUUAAGCUGGGUGUCAUGUGCCAGAACUCCAUUGCCACUAAGCUCAUUGUGGUGGAGUACCGUCCGCUUGAGCAACCCCACCCAGGCAUUAUGCAGCUGAAAGAGUCUGUGUCUUUCGUGAGCUGGAAGGGAGAAAAGUCCAAACAUUCUGGCUCCAAGUUCUGGAAGGCCUUGCGCUUGGCUCUUCCCCUGAGAAGUCUGAGCGCCAGCUCGGGUUGGAAUGAGAGCAGUUCUUCUCAGUCUGACAUCAGUCUGGAUCAUGUUCAGAGGAGAAGUCGUUUGAAAGAGCCCCCAGAACUCCAAAGCUCAGAGAGGGUGUCUGGAGCCGCGCCAGCCCCGGGCACCAUGUCCAAGCACCGAGGCAAGCCCUCGGCAGCCUGUCGCUGCUGUGUCACCUACUGUGAAGGAGAAAGUCACCUCCGGAGCAAGAGCCGGGCAGAGAUGCACACCCAUCCCCAGUGGGAAACACACCUCUGUAAGCCUGAUCUCCAAGAGUCUGAAAGUCAGUGGAUACAAAAUGGCACCAGACCCGAACCCGCUCCCCAGAUCUCAGCUCUUCCACUCCGCCAUUUUACAGAUUUAUCCAAUAACAAUGACUUUUAUAUUCUAUAAUCAUUCUAUGUGGAGGGUGGUGGCUGCUAUUUCUACCAACUCUCGUUGGGUCACAAACUUUUGGGAAUAAUCGACAUUUUUAAUCAUUUAAUAGACUAUCAGAUUUGUGUCCCCUUUUAUUGAUUUUUUUUAAAAACUAUUUAUUUCUAGGAGACAAAAGACCUGAAGCACCUGUAUCCAGUUAUUGCCUCUAACGGCCUUGGAAGAGCACACUCUUCUCGGGCCCUAGAAGGCUCUGAUUUUCUCCAGCCAAGGAGGACUACAAAUCACCCUUUUAACAGUGUUUGCAGGCAAUAGCUGAAAAUGAAGGGCCUGUUUGGCCCCUGGAAUUGUCUCAGCAUAAGCAAAUAAUCCAAUAGAGUGUUCGGUAGAAUGUAUUUAUAAUUUAUGAACUAUCUAACACUGCUCUUUGGAACUUGGUGGGAGUGUUCCAGCCAUCGUCUGUAUUAGAGUAAGAUAAGUUACACUGGGCUAAUACUUCAAUAAGUUCCCAUUCCACAUCUUAUUUUUGCUGAUGCUAAGGGUCCAGCUUAGGGGCUUGCAGUUUUGUGUCCUUGCCAUGUGAAAUGAGUAGCUUGCAGUUGUCCUAUACUUGAGCUUACAUUGACACGUUUUAUUUUCCUCCUCUUACAGUUUAUGAACUAGAACUAUCUUCAGGGUUCUGAUUCAGUCACAGAGAAAGCUGCAAAAUAUAUCCCAGUGUCACUGGGAAGGGAAGAUUACAUUGAAUUUUAUUAACACAUGGCAUAGUCUUCUUCUACACAUGAGAUAAGGAUGAGAUAUCUCUCUAAGCUGAUGAAGCUAGGAAGGACCAUCAACCUUCUACUACUCCAUAUAAUAAAGUAAACAAAAGACUGUGGUGUUCACAUCAAACCUUAGUGUGCCAAGAUAUCAAGAUAAAACCCCCCACAGAAAUGAAUGAAGCUUGCACAUAAGUGCUUCCUAAAUGAAGGUUGUUGACAGACUGCAUUAUAAUAAUUAGUUUCUGUAAACUGAAAACAGUUGAAAGUUGUCAUUUUGGUUACUUCCUAUUUAGUGGCUUAGGUAAGUACUCUAAGAAUGUGAUGCUUAAACUGUCUGCAAAUGAGCCGUUUCCUUUUGGAAAUUCAGGGAGCCUCGGAAGAAUUGAAGGCAUUUAGAACACAGCAGAGCAUGUAACAUGGUCAUUAGGAAGCACCAUUGAUCCAUUUAUCUGAGGACUUAAACAGUGAAUAGCUCAGAUGAAGAAGGAGAACAGUACCUAUGUGGGUGUCAUGGAGUCUGUGAUUACUCUCCUUGUGUUUUCUCUCUUUCUGAUUGGGUUCUAUCGCCAAUAAGUAUUUGAGAUUUUAUACAGAUUUUUCUAAUGCAUACAACAUUAUUUGUUAAUAAUUUAACAAAUUAUUAAAUUUGGUUUGGCAAAGAUUAAUAUUUUAGAGUCAUGAGAUGUGAGAACAGGCUGUAGUGCUGAACAAAGAAGGACCUUGUUUCUUGGUGUCUUGAGGAAAUUAUUCUCCAUCCAAAAUCCUCCUAAGAAUAGUUCACAUAGUUUUGCCUGGAAUAUUCCAAACAUUUCAAAAUUGAAAAUGUAAAGAAUGGCUUUCUGAAAAGUUUGCAUGAUAGGAAGGUGGAAGUCUGCUAGAAGAUCAUGAGGUGUACUUCUCUUGCAAGGGAUGAUGGCUAUUUGAAUACUUCAUCAAUAUAUGGUAAAAAAAAAAACAAUUUUAAACUGUGUGUAGUGGACUAUUCCUGCAGUUCCAACACUAGACCAUUCUGUGUUUCAGAGUAAGUUAAGUUGUAGGCCGCCCUGGGAUAAAUAGUGAGAUUAUCGACUCCAAAACAGGAUUAAAACAACCCCUGAUUUUCAUUUAUUUAACUCACUGUUUUAUUUUAAAUUGUAAUAGCUGUGUCUCAGGCUUAUCCUAUUUUAGAUCCAGGGACAAGUGAUUCUGAGCCGUAAGUAAACUUAGUCUUUGAGGCCAAUUGUACCCAUCUUCAGUGUGAAAUAGACAAUUAAACCUCUCCCAAAUGAUUUAGAUCUUUGAUCUUCUUAAAGUUGACUGCUUGAAGGACCUUUAUAAUUUCUGAACAAGAAUCAAUGAACAUUCAGCAAUGAUAUCUUGUAUAUAGGGAAUGAAAGGGUAAAAUAAAUAGUAAUGUCAUGGAUACUAUUCUUCCUCCUUAAAGUGUAAAACUUGAAAUUCAUUGCCAAAUUGAAACUGAAUUAUUUGUUUAGAGGAAAGGAUAAAAACAAAUCCAGCGUUUCCAGUUCACUUUCAUAUUGCUUCAUAUUGGUUAUGAGAUAGUGAGAAAAUAACAAUAAAGAACAUAAAACUACAAAAGUAAAUAGAGUUGCUAACUUGACUAGCCAAAGAAGACAAUAGUUUUAGUGUUUAUUAUUUUCCUAUAAUCAGCCGCCUGAAGCAGUCACUUGGUUAUUGGCAAAUUGCAGUAAAUGAUGUCUAAGAAGAUUCUGAGGACAAUCAAGCCCUAUUUCCCUACUAAACACCAAGAUAAAAGGAAAAAUGUUUAUAAUCUCCUCAGUACUCAAUUAGUAAGCUGUUGUGUGGAUUUCAGGGCUUAGGAGACAAAGGUAGACAGUCAUUCCUAUUGUAAGCUUUAUAUUGUAUACAAUAUUACUUUCGAGUCAGGACAUAUGCUUUGGGAUAACAGUUACUAUAGAGAAUGUGCAUUUCAAUAGCAUAUGUUUGCUCUCAUAGUUUCUUUAUGUUAAGUGGAAAUAAUAUCUACCUCAUUGAAUUGUUGUAAGGGUAUAAUUAUACAAUAAAUGUGAACUUCUAAAAUCUGUAAUU